rnacentral:lncRNA from 1 species
UAUGACGCAUGUUAUGAUUCUUCCAAAUGAAUAUGUGCUUUAAGCUCUUAUAAUCAGUAUAAAUCUUAAAAGUUUUCUCAUACAGGUAGUGACACCAAGUCUUCAAGCCGUGGAUAAUGGCGGUAAGUUCCAAGUCGUGGAUGAAUAAUUUUUCUUAUGACUCCUCAACUCUCUGUACUUAUUAGCUAUAACCUUCUCAUGCUACAUCAUAACAUAACUCAACCCCAAAU